UCGGGAAUUUUGGGCAAUGGGGGAAACCCUGACCCAGCAACGCCGCGUGAAGGAUGAAGUAUUUCGGUAUGUAAACUUCGUAAGAAUAGGAAGAAUAAAUGACGGUACUAUUUGUAAGGUCCGGCUAACUACGUGCCAGCAGCCGCGGUAAUACGUAGGGACCAAGCGUUGUUCGGAUUUACUGGGCGUAAAGGGCGCGUAGGCGGUGUGUCAAGUCAGUUGUGAAAUCUCCGAGCUUAACUCGGAACGGUCAACUGAUACUGUCACACUAGAGUACAGAAGGGGCAAUCGGAAUUCUUGGUGUAGCGGUGAAAUGCGUAGAUAUCAAGAGGAACACCUGAGGCGAAGGCGGGUUGCUGGGCUGAUACUGACGCUGAGGCGCGAAAGCUAGGGUAGCAAACGGGAUUAGAUACCCAAGUAGUCCCUGAGCGGGCUGGCAAGGCGCAU
rnacentral:rRNA from 1 species